rnacentral:rRNA from 1 species
UUUUAGUGGCGGACGGGUGAGUAACGCGUGGGUAACCUGCCUCACACUGGGGGAGUAACACUUAGAAAUAGGUGCUAAUACCGCAUAAGCGCACGGGACUGCAUGGUCUUGUGUGAAAAACUCCGGUGGUGUGAGAUGGACCCGCGUCUGAUUAGCUGGUUGGCGGGGUAACGGCCCACCAAGGCGACGAUCAGUAGCCGGCCUGAGAGGGUGGACGGCCACAUUGGGACUGAGACACGGCCCAAACUCCUACGGGAGGCAGCAG